ensembl:snoRNA
ACAUUGGUUGGAUUCAUGGCAGGCUCGUCCCUCUGAGCCUUUAUAGUGUCCCAUGUCAGAGCAAACUGUGGUUCGAAACUACUGCCAGGCCUCUACCUAUGGGCUACUGGCACUAAAGGGGGUUACACAGAU